rnacentral:tRNA from 1 species
GAGGACAUAGCUCAGUGGUAGAGCACGUGCUUAGCAUGCACGAGGUCCUGGGUUCAAUCCCCAGUCCCUCCA